CGGGGUGGAGUAAUGUCUGGGAAACUAGCCUGAUGGAGGGGGAUAACUGCUGGAAACGGUAGCUAAUACCGCAUAACGUCGCAAGACCAAAGAGGGGGACCGUUCGGGCCUCUUGCCAUCGGAUGUGCCCAGAUGGGAUUAGCUAGUAGGUGGGGUAACGGCUCACCUAGGCGACGAUCCCUAGCUGGUCUGAGAGGAUGACCAGCCACACUGGAACUGAGACACGGUCCAG
rnacentral:rRNA from 1 species